rnacentral:lncRNA from 1 species
AUUUAUUGAGUUGGUAGUCAAGUUGAGUUGAAACUAAUUAAAUUUGCUCAGUUUAACGACUUGGCUGUCAAAUUGAGUUGAGUUUGAAUUUAGAUUGCAUGGUUUAACGACUUGGCGGUUAAUUUGAACUUAAACUCAGUUUGCUCAGUUUAAAGACUUUGCGGUCAAUUUGAACUUGAACUUAGUUUGCUCAGUUUAACGACUUUGCAGUCAAUUUGAGUUUCAAUUUGAUUUAAUCAGUUUAAUGACUUGGCAGUCACCUGUUCAAUUUAACGACUUGACGGUCUAUUGUUCAGUUUAACGACUUGACGGUCAUUAUUCAGUUUAACGACUUAACAGUCAUUGUUCAAUUUAACGAUUUGACGAUCAUGUUGAAUUUGAAGCCCGUGAAAUUGAUUCAUGAAAUUAAUUCAUGAUAGAGGUCCAUCUUUGUG